rnacentral:rRNA from 1 species
UUACAGAAUGAAAAGUGCUUAACUGCAUUUUUUCUUACACAUGUGUUUUUCUUUUUUUGAAAACUUUGCUUUGGUAGGCCUUCUAUAUGGGGCCUGCCAGAGAUUAAACUCAACCAAAUUUUAUUUAAUGUCAACCGAUUAUUUAAUAGUCAAAACUUUCAACAACGGAUCUCUUGGUUCUCGCAUCGAUGAAGAACGCAGCGAAAUGCGAUAAGUAAUAUGAAUUGCAGAUAUUCGUGAAUCAUCGAAUCUUUGAACGCACAUUGCGCCCUUUGGUAUUCCAAAGGGCAUGCCUGUUUGAGCGUCAUUUCUCCCUCAAACCCUCGGGUUUGGUGUUGAGCGAUACGCUGGGUUUGCUUGAAAGAAAGGCGGAGUAUAAACUAAUGGAUAGGUUUUUUCCACUCAUUGGUACAAACUCCAAAACUUCUUCCAAAUUCGACCUCAAAUCAGGUAGGACUACCCGCUGAACUUAAGCAUAUCAAUAAGCGGAGGAAAAGAAACCAACAGGGAUUGCCUUAGUAGCGGCGAGUGAAGCGGCAAAAGCUCAAAUUUGAAAUCUGGCACUUUCAGUGUCCGAGUUGUAAUUUGAAGAAGGUAUCUUUGGGUCUGGCUCUUGUCUAUG